CCGUCGGAAUCUGGGAGGACCAUCUCCCAACCCUAAAUACUCCCUAGUGACCGAUAGUGAACCAGUACCGUGAGGGAAAGGUGAAAAGCACCCCGGGAGGGGAGUGAAAUAGAACCUGAAACCGUGUGCCUACAACAAGUUCGAGCCCGUUAAUGGGUGAGAGCGUGCCUUUUGUAGAAUGAACCGGCGAGUUACGUUAUGAUGCGAGGUUAAGUUGAAGAGACGGAGCCGUAGGGAAACCGAGUCUGAAUAGGGCGCCUUAGUAUCAUGACGUAGACCCGAAACCAUGUGACCUACCCAUGAGCAGGUUGAAGGUGCGGUAAGACGCACUGGAG
rnacentral:rRNA from 1 species